UCACGUAUCCACGUACAAACCACUGCGAACUGUUCUCCCUUUUGGAGGUGCUGGGUUUGGCUUGAUCAUCAGUCUCUUCUCAGUCGUGAUAGAGGAGCGAUCUAGCCGUGAGCUCGAAAGGGUUCCGCCUGUAUCUUCAAGAGUGGUUAUUAUCACGCAAACCUUUUAUUAACCCCUUUAACCUUUAUGAACUGAAAUUAAGCUUGAUGUAAGAGUCGGCUCCUAACCGGGCAUGUAUUCUGAUCAAGUCUUUUAUUACGAAACUAAGAA
rnacentral:misc_RNA from 1 species